UACGGGGGGGGCAAGCGUUGUUCGGAAUUACUGGGCGUAAAGGGCUCGUAGGCGGCCAACUAAGUCGGACGUGAAAUCCCUGGGCUCAACCCAGGAACUGCGUCCGAUACUGGUUGGCUUGAAUCCGGGAGAGGGAUGCGGAAUUCCAGGUGUAGCGGUGAAAUGCGUAGAUAUCUGGAGGAACACCGGUGGCGAAGGCGGCAUCCUGGACCGGUAUUGACGCUGAGGCGCGAAAGCCAGGGGAGCAAACGGG
rnacentral:rRNA from 1 species